AACGAACGCUGGCGGCAUGCCUAAUACAUGCAAGUCGAACGAUCACUUCGGUGGUAGUGGCGCACGGGUGCGUAACGCGUGGGAAUCUGCCCUUGGGUUCGGAAUAACUUCGGGAAACUGAAGCUAAUACCGGAUGAUGACGAAAGUCUAAAGAUUUAUCGCCCAAGGAUGAGCCCGCGUAGGAUUAGGUAGUUGGUGGGGUAAAGGCCUACCAAGCCUACGAUCCUUAGCUGGUCUGAGAGGAUGAUCAGCCACACUGGGACUGAGACACGGCCCAGACUCCUACGGGAGGCAGCAGUAGGGAAUAUUGGACAAUGGGGGAAACCCUGAUCCAGCAAUGCCGCGUGAGUGAUGAAGGCCUUAGGGUUGUAAAGCUCUUUUACCCGGGAUGAUAAUGACAGUACCGGGAGAAUAAGCCCCGGCUAACUCCGUGCCAGCCGCCGCAGUAA
rnacentral:rRNA from 1 species